GUCUUAUUGAUAAUAAUUUUAAGUCUAAUCUGCCCAAUGAUAAUUUUAAUGGCUGCAGUAUUUUAACUGUACAAAGGUAGCAUAAUAAUUAGUCUCUUAAUUAGGGACUAGAAUGAAUGAUUGAACGAGAUAAUAACUGUCUCUUAUUAAAUUAUAGAAUUUUAUUUUUAAGUUAAAAAGCUUAAAUGAAUUUAAAAGACGAGAAGACCCUAUAGAGUUUUAUAUUUAAUUUAUUAUAAAAUUUAGUUUAAAAUUUUUAUUUUUUAAAAUAAAUAUUUAAUUGGGGUGAUUAAAAAAUUUAAAUAACUUUUUUUAAAAAUUAUCAUUGAUUAAUGAAUUUUUGAUCCAAUAUUUUUGAUUAUAAGAUUAAAUUACCUUAGGGAUAACAGCGUAAUUUUUUUUAAGAGUUCUUAUCGAAAAAAAAGAUUGCGACCUCGAUGUUGGAUUAAAAUUAAUUUUUGGCGUAGAAGUUAAAAAAUUAGGUCUGUUCGACCUUUAAAAUUUU
rnacentral:rRNA from 1 species